rnacentral:rRNA from 1 species
CAGCAGUAGCCGCGGUAAUACGAAGGGGGCUAGCGUUGCUCGGAAUUACUGGGCGUAAAGGGGGCGUAGGCGGACAUUUAAGUCAGGGGUGAAAUCCCAGAGCUCAACUCUGGAACUGCCUUUGAUACUGGGUGUCUUGAGUGUGAUAGAGGUAUGUGGAACUCCGAGUGUAGAGGUGAAAUUCGUAGAUAUUCGGAAGAACACCAGUGGCGAAGGCGACAUACUGGAUCAUUACUGACGCUGAGGCUCGAAAGCGUGGGGAGCAAACAGGAUUAGAUACCCGUGUAGUCCCUGUCUCUUAUAU